rnacentral:rRNA from 1 species
UACGGGGGGGGGCAAGCGUUGUUCGGAAUUAUUGGGCGUAAAGAGCUCGUAGGCGGUCUGUCGCGUCGGCUGUGAAAUCCCGAGGCUCAACCUCGGGUCUGCAGUCGAUACGGGCAAACUAGAGUAUUGCAGGGGAGACUGGAAUUCCUGGUGUAGCGGUGAAAUGCGCAGAUAUCAGGAGGAACACCGGUGGCGAAGGCGGGUCUCUGGGCAAUAACUGACGCUGAGGAGCGAAAGCGUGGGGAGCGAACAGG